GUGAAGCUUAAGUGGUAUAAGCUACUGCUGUUAAGCAGAAGAUAGUAGGUUCGAAUCCUACCAUACCCACA
rnacentral:tRNA from 1 species